rnacentral:rRNA from 1 species
UACGUAGGGGGCAAGCGUUGGUCCGGAAUCAUUGGGCGUAAAGCGCGCGUAGGUGGCCCAGUAAGUCCGUUGUGAAAGUCAAAGGCUCAACCUUUGAAAGCCGAUGGAUACUGCUGGGCUCGAGUCCGGAAGAGGCGAGUGGAAUUCCUGGUGUAGCGGUGGAAUGCGCAGAUAUCAGGAAGAACACCCGUGGCUAAGGCGGCUCUCUAGUACGGUACUGACGCUGAGACGCGAAAGCGUGGGGAGCGAACAGG